ACUCUAAAAAGUAUUCACGUCCAAGUUACGUGAAAAAUCACGUACUUACUGGUUAUGCUUCUUCCGGUCUGUUUCACAUGAUUCCGGUGAUUCUCACAUGAGAUCAGUUCAGUUUCACCUUCAGUUCAGGUCACAAUGACGUGAUUUGCCUGUCUGAAAAAAUAUGAGUGAAGUUUCAUACUGAGUGACCAACAUGGCGGCAGUGGACGAGGCAGUGGAUUGGCAGCUGUUGUUAUCUGAAAACUGUUGUUUUAUGGAAAUCCGGUAAACUUUCAUAUUCAUCGCGAGAACAACGGCAACACAGCUGCAGUUUACGAGCCAGCAACAAUGGUCUACUUCUUAGUGCAAUGCAGAUGAUUGAUUUUUUUGUAUAAAUUUAACUUUAAUUUGAAAUAAAUUAGUGGAAAUGAA